UACUUGAGGUUACCAUAAGUUAGUGCAUACUUGGAUUCUAUAGGAACAGACUUUGUACAUGGGGCGAACUUUGCAAGUGCAGGAUCAUCUAUUAGGCCUGGUAACAGGAGUCCUUUCUUUCUUGCCCUUUAAGUCUCUCAAUUCGUGCAAUUCAAAGCUAAUAACUCGAGGAAUCGUGGUGGCCUCCCAAGUCCUAAAGAUUUUUCGAAGUCAUUGUACACAUUCGAUAUCAGACAAUGAUCUGGUGUUUGGUUUUCUAAACACCACGGAAGAUCAAGUUAAAUUAACAUUUCCUGACAUUCUAUAUCAGUUCAGUCAGGCAGUACAAACUUUAUAGUGAAGGAGCAAGAGCCUUUUUGGUGCAUAGCGUAGGGCCAAUUGGCUGCGAUCCCGUUGUGGCUGCGAUCCCGUUGUAGCUGCAUUAUUCCCUCCCAAGAAUGCUACUCAUGACAAGAACCACUGUGCAGUGGCACAGAAUGAAGUGGUCCAAGAGUUCAAUAUGCAACUCAAAGACACAGUCGUGCAGUUGAGAAAGCAACUUCCACAAGCUGCCAUUACCUAUGUGGAUGUUUAUAAAGUUAAAUUUUUUGCUAAUUGAUGAUGCUAGAAAUCAAGAUUUGAGGAUUCAUGGAACUUCUGCUGUGGCAUUCUUGAACCGAAUCUAGUCCUCUUUUGUGGGACUAGAUCCGACGAUAACAAUAACACUAGUGUUGCAACUGCUUGUGCUGAUCCUUCGGAACCUAUUAGCUGGGAUGGCAUACACUUCAGUGAGGCAGCUAACCAGUGGGUUUUGAAAAGGAUGUUUGACGGAUCAGUUUCCCACACGCCUGUUCCUCUGAACCAAGCUUGUGCUUGGACUAAGAAAGCAUAGUAAGUGCUUGUGCUUGACAGUUAGAAUUGGAACUUGCAUUCCAAAAGAGUGCUUAUUGUAUGCAAGUAACUGAAGAUUGUUAAAAUGUACCUAUAGCUAAAGAGAGGACUACAGAAUAAGAACUCUCAGGGAGCAGAUGUAUGGUCUUGCAUGUACAAUAAUGCAAGUGAAGCCGAAUAAGUAAAUCCAAAAUGCAGGGAGCUUCACUUUGGGCUAGUAUUCUAAGUAAAAUUUUCACCUACCCUUUUGUUUUUAAUUCACAAUCCUUUCUGCUGUAUUAACUUUUUCCUCAAAAUCUUCAGUUCUCAUUUUCACUAUAAACGCAUUGCUCAAAACUUUAGUCCUGCAUCACUUGAUUAGACUAAGACUUUUUAGAAUGCACAGUAUGGCCAGGAUCACCAGAUAGGUACACUUACUUGAAUAUGAGGAAUAAGACCAGAAGAAAGGUUCUUAU